AGAAAUCCCACAAAAAUUUGAAGUUUCAUCUAUUUUCCCUCCAAGCUGGAAAAAUCUGACUCUUAGAAGGGGGUGUUGAUUCUGCUUUGCAUGUCACAGAUAGAAAAUUGUAUGAAGGGGCAGGCAAGGCUGAACGUGCACAGACACCUGUAUUGAUUUACCCCCUUGAUAUGAACACACUUCCAGAGACAGCACAAACUGGGAGCUCUGAGGCUGUGUUUCUGCGGACGUCGCUCUUGGCAUCAAAGGCAGCGUGAGCUGUUCCCGCUUUUCUCCCCUUCAACUCCAUCUGUUUAUUCCAUUUAGCUCCAACUGUUCACUCCAGGGGUGGCUCCUCAGUUGUGCCACUGCCACUUUUUGCAGGGCUAUAGAUGAACUGGUUGACCUCAGCUCUAUUAAAACUAUACUCAGUCCUGUCUUGUAGUUCUUUAGCAGGAUUGGUUCUAAGUUCAGUUUCUUGAUGUAGUUCAUCACAAGGUCACACAGACAAACAAUUGCAGGACUGAGGGACAAAGGUAGAAAGAGCCACACUGGCUUGUUUUGCCUCCCAGAAAUGUGUCCUGAAACUGUGACAUAAAGCCCACUUAAGCACUGAAGUGUCAGAACUAAGUUUGUCAUUGUGAUUCUUGUGCCCCAGACCUUUGCUUCUCUUAUUAGUAUGAUUAGGAAUAACUAUGGGACAAAACUCUGCAUUCCUAACACCUCAGAACUGCAGAGAAGGUGAAUGGGCAUUUGAGGAUGGAGCUUGCCUUAUUGUUAGUUUUUAAACUGUCUUCUACCCUCCUAUUCUAAUUCUUCUUUAUUUAUAUCCAGUACUUUGUGAGAUUGCUUUUAUCAUCUGAUUGUUAUCCCUUUCCCAGCCAUGCAGGAACAAAUUUUGGCUUUCUUUGCUGGCUCACCUUUUAACUUCUCUUGUUCCUGUGUUGUUUGCCUUUUUCACACUGAAUGCUGAUGAGGUACUAUUUGGUCUGUCUUCAGCAGUCAUUUUCUGGGUAAUUUCUUUAAGCAGCAAACACUAAUUCCUCCCACUCUUUAAAGUGCCAUAUGGGAUCAGAUUACCAGAUUAAACAUGAAUCCAUUUUUGGAUGGCAUUUCUGUCCCAUGCUAGUUCUAUUAAAAUUAUUGACUAUCUGGCCAAAAGUACUGCUGUCUCAAGACUUGCAUGCAGCUAUUUUUGGGCCAGAACAAGAAGGGCAAAGGGCCAUUUUGAAAUGUUGUUUCUAACAUCUUUAUCUCAAAGUUUGCACUUAUGCAAACAUUGCUAAGUGGUUUCCAUUUGUUCAUGUCAACAGGAACUGCUACAAACACAAAAAUAUAUUUUUAGCAGUUAUUCUCCUAUGAAGCAUUUUCAAUCCCAGCUGACACAUGCAAUAAUUUCUAAAGAUCACAUGGGGGGCCUCAGCAAGAGGAUGUGGCUCCUAUCAUCAUCACUGAGCUAUCCCACAGGACACACGACUGCUGAGAAGUCAGAGUUUAGAAGAAUAAUACUAAAAACAUCAAGUCAUCUCACAUCAUGCUGGCACACAGCCCAGAAGCUUGUAAAAAUGCAACUUCAUCAGACAAAAAGGAGUUACCGGAAAAGGAACAGAACAGAGAAGAAAAUACCUUCCAG